rnacentral:rRNA from 1 species
GACGUAGGGUGCAAGCGUUGUCCGGAUUUACUGGGCGUAAAGAGCGCGUAGGCGGUCUGUUAAGUGAGAAGUGAAAUCUCCAGGGCUCAACCCGGAAACUGCUUUUCAUACUGGCAGACUUGAGGGAUGCAGAGGUUUGUGGAAUUCCUGGUGUAGCGGUGAAAUGCGUUGAUAUCAGGAGGAACACCCAUGGCGAAGGCAGCAAACUGGGCAUCAUCUGACGCUGAGGCGCGAAAGCGUGGGGAGCGAACAGG